ACCACAGAUCUAUCAGCUAGUUGAAUCACAACUCUUGUUUCUUUUAGUGCACAUGCAUUGAGAGAUUUAUAAAUGGAGAGAGGCAUGACAUUUAUGGAUGCACCAAGAUCACACAUGGCUUUCCUUAUACCAACAUUCCCUAUCUUGCAAGAGAUAGCAAACAUACCUUUGUCUUUGCAUUUAGUAGGGAGUUCUCUUUUAAUAACAGCAGUCACAACCUCACCUACACUUACUUUUUCUCUCUCUGUAAGCUUUCUCCUAUUAGUGCAAAGUUCUUUCAGAAAUUUAGCGUACCUGGGAAUCUGCUUAACAGCAUCUAGCAGAGGUAUAUUGAUUUGUACUUUUCUGAAAGUGUCAAGGAUCUCCUUUUCUUCCUUUUCUUUUUGUGUUCUUUCAAAUCUCUUGGGAAAAGGAGGUGGAAUGUGAAAGCUUACCUUUGGGUCAGUCUUUUGCGCAUGAGGAGCUGCGGAUUGCGAUGGAGAGGCUUCAGGUGGCUUUGGUUCUUUUUCUUGCUCAUGAUUAGUAUCUCGAAGCUCUUUGCCACUUCUCAAAGUAAUAGCACUAACAUUCUGUCUGGGGUUGGUUUCAGUUUGAGAAGGGAGCUUACCUUGGGAUUGUAGUUGGCCUAUAGAGGUGGCCAUUUGGCUUAGGUCCUGUCGCACGCCUUGCAUAGAUGUGGUCAUUUGGCCCAGGUCUUGUCGCACGCCUUGCAUGGUGCUCACCAUUGUUUCCAUCAUUGUUUGCAUGAUCUUCUCAAGGUUCUGAUUUGGAGUUGAAGGUGCUGGUUGGGCUUGAUUUCUUUGGUAACUUUGGUAGUUCUGAUCACUGUUGCUCUUUCCAUAGCUAAAAUUGGGGUGAUCUUUCCAACCUGGAUUGUAUGUAUUGGAGUAUGGAUCAUAUCUAGGUUGGUUGUUGUACCUCCCAAUAGCAUUGACUUGGAGAUGAUCUUCUUGGAGAGCAGGACAUUGAUCAGUGGGGUGUCCUACAUGUAAGCAGAUCUCACAUGGCCUAGGAGGAUGGGGUGCUUGAAUCUGUUGCACUUGGCCAAGGGCGAUCUUUUCCACAAGAGAUGUUAGUUUUGAAAUUUGAGAUUCAACAGAGGAUGUUCUUACCUCAUAGAUUCCUCUUUGCGUUUGCCCUUCUUCUUCAUAUUGCUUAGAUGAAGCUGCAAGAUUGGAUAUUAGUUCCUUCAUCUCCCUUGGUGUCUUGUCUAAGAUAGAUCCUCCACAGGCUACAUUUAUGAGUUUCCUUUCUGAUGGAAUCAAUCCUCCAUAGAAGAACUGAAUGAGGCCUUUGUCUGACAUAUCAUGUUGUGGACAACCUGUACAUAGUCUUUCAAACCUUUCCCAAUAAUCAUAUAAGUCCUCAGUUGGUUUUUGCCUUAUGCUAGUGAUUUCUCUUAUUAUGCCAAUUGAUUUAGAUGGUGGAAAGUAUUUGUCCAAAAAGGCUUGGACCAUAUCAUCCCAAGAAGUUAUAAAUCCAGGUGUCAAAUAAAAUAACCAAUCCUUAGCAUGGUCAUCUAAUGAAAAAGGGAAGGCUCUUAGUUUAACAUGAUCUUCAGAGAUCCCUUGAGGUCUCAUGGAUGAGCAAAUAAUUUUAAAUUCUUUUAAGUGCUUAUGUGGAUUUUCAUUUUGCAAACCUCUAAAUUUAGGGAGAUGAUGAAUUAAA
rnacentral:lncRNA from 1 species